AACGCGAAGAACCUUACCUGGGCUCGAACGACUGGUGGUAGCUUAGAUGAAAGUUUAGGCGACCCGCAAGGGAGCCAGCCGAGGUGCUGCAUGGUUGUCGUCAGCUCGUGUCGUGAGAUGUUGGGUUAAGUCCCGCAACGAGCGCAACCCCUAUCCUGUGUUGCUACCCGCAAGGGAGGACUCUCAGGAGACUGCCGCGGAUAACGUGGAGGAAGGUGGGGUCGACGUCAAAUCAUCAUGGCCUUUAUGUCCAGGGCCACACACGUGCUACAAUGGCGUAUACAGCGGGAAGCAAGACCGCAAGGUGGAGCAAAUCCCUAAAGUACGCCUCAGUUCAGAUUGUGGGCUGCAAUUCGCCACAUGAAGGCGGAAUCGCUAGUAAUCGCAGAUCAGCAGGCUGCGGUGAAUACGUUCCCGGGCCUUGUACACACCGUGUCGA
rnacentral:rRNA from 1 species